rnacentral:misc_RNA from 1 species
GAUGAAGAACGUAGCGAAAUGCGAUAAGUAAUGUGAAUUGCAGAAUUCAGUGAAUCAUCGAAUCUUUGAACGCACAUUGCGCCCGCCAGUAUUCUGGCGGGCAUGCCUGUCUGAGCGUCAUUUCAACCCUCAUGCCCCUAGGGCGUGGUGUUGGGGAUCGGCCAAAGCCCGCGAGGGACGGCCGGCCCCUAAACCUAGUGGCGGACCCGUCGUGGCCUCCUCUGCGAAGUAGUGAUAUUCCGCAUCGGAGAGCGAUGAGCCCCUGCCGUUAAACCCCCAACUUUCCAAGGUUGACCUCAGAUCAGGUAGGAAUACCCGCUGAACUUAAGCAUAUCAAUAAGCGGAGGA